ensembl:lncRNA
UGAUGGCUCUGCAGGGUCUCCUGCACCCUCCGGCCACACCAGCCCCUCUGAUGGCUCUUCAGGGUCUAGUUUCAAGUUUCAAGUUUAUUUAUUAUCUCCUGCACCCUCCGGCCACACCAGCCCCUCUGAUGGCUCUGCAGGGUCUCCUGCACCCUCCGGCAACACCAGCCCUUCUGAUGGCUCUGCAGGGUCUCCUGCACCCUCCGGCCACACCAGCCCUUCUGAUGGCUCUGCAGCGUCUCCUGCACCCUCGCCUCACUCCUGCAACACCACUUGCGCAUUGUCACCAGCAUCAGGCAUGCAAACUGGCUCGGGGUGAAAAAGACUGGAAGGCAUUGAGGAAGACCCAGGUGAAGCGGCAGUUCUCCAGCCUCGACUGGACUGCGGUGAUGUCAAAGGGCAUCAAGGAGGUCAACCCGUACUGCAGCUUUGCCUUCAAGCGGCAUGCUGUGAAGACAGUGGGAUCGAGGAGGCGUGGGGCCCUGUUCAAGGCUUCCGCGUAUUGUGCCUUCGAAGAUUGCCCUGUCCAGGUUGAGCUCACCAUUGACGAUGACUCCCUGAGGGCCAAUUUGACCUUCUCAGGGGAAUUUGUGAGGCACAGCAGGAGGCAGCUUGUACGCAGGCCUGUUCGUGCCAGCGAAAGGGAGGUCCUGGCGGAGGCACUCCAAAACAAGCUCCCUAGGAGCUUGUUUCUGGAGAAACUCCAGGGGCUUGGUGAGGACAUUUAUGAGUCAGGCUGCAGGGAUGGAGUCCCAACAGCAGGGGUUUUGAAGACUCUGUCUUCUGAGAAGAGAGGACACAAUCGCCUGCAUGAAGACGACAUGCUUGGCUUAAAAAUGAUGGCGGAGGAGGAGCGGGGGACUGAGUCUGCUCUAAUACAGCAGAUCUCCCAGAAGCCGAAGGCUGUGAUGCUCUGGUCUGCAAAGACCAUCAAUGUUUACUUUGACCAAUGUAAAAACGACAUUGUUUACAUUGAUGCCACUGGCAGUGUGGUCCACAGGUCAAUGGGAGACCCUAAACCAUAUUAUAUAUAUGAGAUAGUGGUGAGACACCCACAUAAAGGGUCUUCCCCCCUCCCUGUGGCUACAUUUGUCACAACUGACCAAACGACAGCAUCAGUCUCCCAUUUCAUUGCAGCCUUCCUGACUGAUGCUGUGAGGCAGCAUGGGCAGGCAGUGCGAAGAAGGCCAGUGAUGGUCAUGUGUGAUGGCUCAUCAGUCCUUCUCCAGUCACUCUCCAUGAAUUUCUGUGGGAUAUCCCUCCCAGAGCUCCUGAAGAGGUAUUAUGGGAUUGUGACUGGAAAGGGACAGGCAGAUUGUGCUGAACUCCCCAUUCUUCAUAGAUGCCUAAGCCACAUUAUGAAGAAUGUGAAGAGUCUCUGCAAGAAGCAUGCUAGCAAACAUUACCAUCUAGCCAUGCAUGUGAUCAGGAGAAUGACUCAAGCCCGAACCAUGCAUGAGCUUGAUGAUGUCUUCAUUAGCGCAGCUGUCGUCUUCUCCAGCCCUUGCAGUGCAGUGAAUGUUGAAAAACAUUUUCAAAACCUGCAGGUCCAUCUGCAGGGGAUAGACCUAGCCAUAGAAGAGGCCAAGAUUGAGGAGGAAGAAUUUGGGAGUGAAUUGGUGCAAUCGCCAUUUCUUCUGCAUUUCCAAAAUUUGCUAAGAAAUGUGCAAAUGGACAGAGAUGGUGACCCAAAUCUGUAUCGAUGCCCAAGCAUUAUUCCCACUCUUCUGCAGAAUCCCCUCCCUCAAGCUCCUUUGUGGACUGGCCUCCUCCUGGGUGACCUGGGACGCCAUGGGAAAGGGCCAGUUUAUUUGCAGCUGUCGAAUAAAUUUGAGAAAGCAGCAAGUACAGCGAAACAGAACUACACACAGGACAACAGGACCCAAGGGAUCAUGGAGAAGAGCCAGUGGGACUUGAAGAAAGUCAGGCUCCAGGGCAGGCGCUUCAAGAGGAUGGACGAUUUUGUGGCCAUGCAUAAAGUCAGCACCAAUGCCCUGCUAAGGGAAUAUGCUAACUCACUGAAGGAAAGGAGGAAGCAGAAGAGACAUCAGGUGGAAACUGAGAAAUGGAAACACAGAAGCCAAAGGAAACGGGGAGUGUACGUGGCACCAAGGAAGAAGGCAUUUACCUUUCAGACAACAAAGAAUGCUGAACCUUUGAGCAAUGCUGACUGCCCAUCUGAAAGCCGCCCAUCCUCAGCCCUCUGCCCUGUGAACGUCCUUCACCUGUCUUCACCUGAACAUGCAAGUGUUCAGGUGAAUGCUGAUAGGCCAGGUGAAAGCCACUUGUCCUCAUCUGACCUGCACGACCAACAGUUAACCUUACUGUGGAGAAAGAGGUCGACAGAGGUGGUUGUUGCGGUACUGCCAUCUCAAAUUAAGGGUCGGAGCAUCUAUGUACACCACUCAGAGCUGCGUUCACUACGGCCACACCUGUGGUUGACAGGAGAGAUAAUUCAUGGAUUGAUGCAUCUCAGUGCCUACACACACAAUGUGGUAGACACCAUCUACCUGAUGGACCAUUACACGGCAGGUGUGAUUUUGUCUGGUGACAGGGCCACAGUACGCCGUCAAAGCUUACCUAAGGUAAACUUUGAAAACUAUGAAGCGAUGCUGUCAUUCAUCCAUGUGAAUGGGAAUCAUUGGAACAUGCUGUACAUUCAUGCAAAGUCUGGCACAGUCUUCCAAUUGGAUCCAUCACCAGCAUCCUCUGAGCUUGAGGACUCUGCACAUGCCGCCACGAAAAUACAGGAAUACUUCAAGAUGAGGAGAACAUCACAUGGGAAAACGGACUGGGUUGAUGUUCAGUGGAAAGGAGGAGUAAUGCCCCACCCAGUGCAAAGGGAUGGUUGCAGUUGUGGCGUUAUUGUUGUUGAAAUGGCCAGAGCAGUAAUGGGAGCCUUCCCUCAGUUGCCCCAAAUGCAAUUUGAAACCACCAGGAAAGCCAUGGGAGAAUCUAGGAGGAAUAUGGGUCUCCAAGUCCUUGAGGCAUCAGUCUUUGAUGAAGAGACAUGUGCAAUGUGUGGAGCUGACAGGCCCCCUGGAGAAGCAACUGCCAACACAAACUGGAUCCAGUGUGAUAAAUGUGACCGGUGGUUCCAUGCCGUCUGUUUAACCAUGGACCCCAGGACACUUCAAGAGCUGAAGCAAAAGCAAUGGCUGUGUGUGCUGUGCAAAUAAAUAUUUUACCUGUUACCUGUCCUACAA